CUUGUGCAAGAAUUAGAUUUAAGUGAAGCAGAAAAGUCAUAAGCUUCAUUCUCUCUUCCAGAGUCAUCCAAGACCAGUGGAAACACAGAUGUCAGAAUGACUGAUGAUGGCCAGGGAUGCACUGAGUGACCAUGACAUCAUUGAUAUCUGAUCAAGCUUUAGACACUCCACAGUGCCUGCUUCAACCACCUUCAUGGCCCUUGGAACAAAUUGUUCUCAUUCUCCCAUUCCACGGGAAGAAGUCUUCAUAUGCUUGGGGAUAGACAUCCUUCCUAGCUCAGCAAUGGGUUUGAGGUCUAUCAGUUACCCUCUACCUGCUUUAGCCCACUUGCUGAGAUGGUUUACUGGGGCGUUGCCACUGCACAUGCUACAGCUUCUUGGAGCUGCAGAUGGUGCAGUUUUUACAAAUUGUAGGCUUGUGGCAACUCUGUGGUAAGCAAAUCUCUUGGUGUCAUUUUUCUAACAUCAUGUGCUCACAUUGUGUUUCUGUGUCACAUUUUGGUAAUUCUCACAAUAUCUCAAAUUUUAUUAUUAUUGUUAUUAUAUCUGUUAUGGUGAUUGGAGAUCAGUAA
rnacentral:lncRNA from 1 species